UACGUAGGUCCCGAGCGUUGUCCGGAUUUAUUGGGCGUAAAGCGAGCGCAGGUGGUUUAAUAAGUCUGGUGUAAAAGGCAGUGGCUCAACCAUUGUAUGCAUUGGAAACUGUUAGACUUGAGUGCAGUAGAGGAGAGUGGAAUUCCAUGUGUAGCGGUGAAAUGCGUAGAUAUAUGGAGGAACACCGGUGGCGAAAGCGGCUCUCUGGACUGUAACUGACACUGAGGCUCGAAAGCGUGGGUAGCAAACAGG
rnacentral:rRNA from 1 species